rnacentral:rRNA from 1 species
UACGUAGGGUGCGAGCGUUAAUCGGAAUUACUGGGCGUAAAGCGUGCGCAGGCGGUUUUGUAAGCCAGAUGUGAAAUCCCCGGGCUUAACCUGGGAAUGGCAUUUGGGACUGCAAGGCUGGAGUGUGGCAGAGGAGACUGGAAUUCCCGGUGUAGCAGUGAAAUGCGUAGAUAUCGGGAGGAAUACCGAUGGCGAAGGCAGGCC